rnacentral:misc_RNA from 1 species
AAGGAUCAUUACUGAGUUGUUGACAUGAGCUGUUGCUGGUCCUCAAAACAAGGGGGCAUGUGCACGCUCUGUUCACACAUCCACUCACACCUGUGCACCAACCGUAGUUCUAUGGUCUGGAGGACUCACCGUCCUCUUCCCGUGGUUCUAUGUCUUUACACAUACACCGUAGUGAAGUCUUAUGGAAUGUGCGCCGCGUUUAACGCAAUACAAUACAACUUUCAGCAACGGAUCUCUUGGCUCUC